rnacentral:rRNA from 1 species
GAUGAACGCUAGCGAUAGGCUUAACACAUGCAAGUCGAGGGGCAGCACAAGGUAGCUUGCUAUCUGGGUGGCGACCGGCGCACGGGUGCGUAACGCGUAUGCAACUUGCCCUAUACAGGAGGAUAACCCGUCGAAAGACGGACUAAUACUGCGUAUGCUCACAACUUGGCAUCAAGUGGUGAGGAAAGAAAUUCGGUAUAGGAUAGGCAUGCGUCCCAUUAGCUUGUUGGUGAGGUAACGGCUCACCAAGGCAACGAUGGGUAGGGGAACUGAGAGGUGUAUCCCCCACACUGGUACUGGGACCCGGACCAGACUCCUACGGGAGGCAGCAGUGAGGAAUAUUGGUCAAUGGGCGCGAGCCUGAACCAGCCAAGUCGCGUGAAGGAUGACUGUCUUUUGGAUUGUAAACUUCUUUUAUACGGGAAUAACAAGAGUCACGUGUGACUCCCUGCAUGUACCGUAUGAAUAAGCAUCGGCUAACUCCGUG